GUGGUAAUAGCUCAGUGGUAGAGCUCAUGGUUAGCAUGCACAAGGUCCUGGGUUCUAUUCCUAGUACCCCCA
rnacentral:tRNA from 1 species